GUUUUGCCCUUGUUCAGAUCGAUCACGACGACCUUCCUCCAUCGCGCCGCCGUGCAGGGCCGCCGCCACCGUCCCGCUUCCUCCAUCGCGCCGUGGUGAAUGGCCGGGCUUCACGCAGGUUCAGAUUGACCACGCCAAGCUGUUGAUCGAUCAUUCUAUGGCAGAGGAACAGGUUCAAGUAAAUUGAUCAAACCCAGUUCAGCUUGCCUGAUCCUUAUCCAUCUGCGUUUGCAGAAAUGGGAGAUGGGAGAAGAAGAAAUCUGCACAAAAGGAGAAGAAGAAAGCUGAACAAGAGACAUUUCUAACAAAUACUUUGAUUCUUCGAAAAGCUCUACACUUUAAGUCCACUAAUUUAGUAUUUAUUUCAGGUUCACUCCAUGAAAAUGAAAAAUAAAAGAUCAAAUGCAAAAAAGAAAAUCAUCCGAGAGAGACAGGCUACAACAAGAGGAGACGAAAUAUGAGGUAGCUAUUUCUUUAGUUACAGCACAAUUCAAGUAUCUUUGUUUGUCAUCUCUUUAUUUUCACUACAUACCUGAGCACAUAUGUCUUUUACCACUUUAUCUGGACCAGGAAUCUUUUUUCUUGGACAUUAGUUUUUCUUUUUGAAACGCGGGCAAAAGCUUUGCCCUUUCUAUUAAUUAAGGAGAAGUUUUACAAGAAAAAAAAGGUGUUGGACUAUCGAUACUUUGGCUCAUGCGUUGGAAAAGGCAACGGGACAUGGGCUUCUCAAUAAGAUCCGAGGGCGGGGUACCAUCCUCCGCACAUCUCUUUAUGCGGAUGAUGUGGCAGUUUUGUAGCCCCUAUUAAAGAAGACAUUCAAAACCUCGCCCACAUCCUCAAUGACUUCGGAAAGGUUACCAGGCUAUGCACAAACUUCCUCAAGAGCUCCGUAGUGCCCAUAAGGUGUGCCAACAUUGACCUCGAUGACAGCCACAAUACCAUAUGGAGCAAUUCAUGUAUAUAUUUUUGUCUCUUUAUUUAUUUCUAUAGCAAGUACCUUCUAAACUUGCUUGGUGCAGGAACCGUUUGACUUUAGUGUUAGCAACAUAAAUCAAACAAUGACAGCUGCAUCACCAUAUGGAGGUUCAUCGUCUGUCGUUAUGCCUCCAAUUCUAGGAAAAUAUACAAGCAUGUUGUAUCAAGUUCAGCAAAGCUCCGCUCCUGUGUCCAGUUCUCUGCAAUUACGCUUUGAUGGAACUGGAGAAGUCCAACAAUACGAUGGAUCAAAGUUAGAGAUGAAUUGUGUAAUUUAAGGAUGUUGGAUGCAGACCUUUGUUAUAAUCUUUUAUGCACUUGGAAAUUUUAAUGUAAUAGCUAAUAGGCACAGGGUAGUAGAAAGUAAACGAAUUUAUGUUU